rnacentral:rRNA from 1 species
UAGGGAAUCUUCCGCAAUGGACGCAAGUCUGACGGAGCAACGCCGCGUGAGUGAAGAAGGAUUUCGGUUCGUAAAACUCUGUUGUUAGAGAAGAACAGCGCAUAGAGUAACUGUUAUGCGUGUGACGGUAUCUAACCAGAAAGCCACGGCUAACUACGUGCCAGCAGCCGCGGUAAUACGUAGGUGGCAAGCGUUGUCCGGAUUUAUUGGGCGUAAAGCGAGCGCAGGCGGUUAAUUAAGUCUGAUGUGAAAGCCCCCGGCUCAACCGGGGAGGGUCAUUGGAAACUGGUUGACUUGAGUGCAGAAGUGGAGAGUGGAAUUCCAUGUGUAGCGGUGAAAUGCGUAGAUAUAUGGAGGAACACCAGUGGCGAAGGCGACUCUCUGGUCUGUAACUGACGCUGAGGUUCGAAAGCGUGGGUAGCAAACAGG